rnacentral:rRNA from 1 species
AUUGAACGCUGGCGGCAGGCCUAACACCUGCAAGUCGAGCGGAGCGGCGGACGGGUGAGUAAUGCCUAGGCAUCUGCCUGGUAGUGGAGGAUAACGUACGGACACGGGCGCUCAUACCGCAUACUAUCAGAUGAGCCUAGGUCGGAUUCGAUAGUUCGUGGGGUAACGGUAUACCAAGGCGACGAUCCGUAACUGGUCUGAGAGGAGGAUCCGUCACCCUGGAACUGAGACACGGUCCAGACGCCUACGGGAGGCAGCAGUGGGGAAUAUUGGACAAUGGGCGAAAGCCUGAUCCAGCCAUGCCGCUUGUGUGAAGAAGGUCUUCGGAUUGUAAAGCACUUUAAGUUGGGAGGCGUUACCAACAGAAUAAGCACCGGCUAACUUCGUGCCAGCCGCCGCGGUAAUAC